rnacentral:rRNA from 1 species
CCCUUAGAUGUUCUGGGCCGCACGCGCGCUACAAUAGUCUUCGCAAACGGAUGCAUUCUCGAAGGAGAAUGCCAAUCUUGGAAUCUAUGCCUUGGUCGGGACAGUUGCUUGCAAUUUUUCGACUCGAACCAGGAAUUCCUUGUAAUCGUGAUUCAUCACAUCACGAUGAAUACGUCCCUGCCCUUUGUACACACCGCCCGUCGCUCCUACCGAUCGAAGAGUUAGGUGAAUUGUUUUGAUCGAUAAGAUUUGACUAUGGUCAACUCUCGUUGUGAAAUUCUGUGAAUCUGACUGUUUAGAGGAAGGAAAAGUCGUAACA